UUGACGGGUAUGCCUUGUUUUAUGUAAAAGGUAAUUAAAGUUUACUUAAUUAGUUUACUAACUAUUUAUGAUGUUCCAAACAGGGCUCACUGGCAACUGGUAGUCCUCGUUCCCAAAAAAAAUACAGUUGUCUUCUUAUGUUCGCUGCAUAAGAAGAUUAAAGAUGACUUGAAAGUCCUGCUUCAAAGAGUAAUGGGUAAAUCUCGAGGUCAGCUAAAACAAGUGUUGUAUCCCAAGUGUAACAAACAACUUGAUUCAUGGGAAUGUGGGUACUAUGUGAUGUG